GAUGAACGCUGGCGGCGUGCCUAAUACAUGCAAGUCGAGCGAACAGACGAGGAGCUUGCUCCUCUGACGUUAGCGGCGGACGGGUGAGUAACACGUGGAUAACCUACCUAUAAGACUGGGAUAACUUCGGGAAACCGGAGCUAAUACCGGAUAAUAUAUUGAACCGCAUGGUUCAAUAGUGAAAGACGGUUUUGCUGUCACUUCUAGAUGGAUCCGCGCCGCAUUAGCUGGUUGGUAAGGUAACGGCUUACCAAGGCAACGAGGCGUAGCCGACCUGAGAGGGGGGUCGGCCACACUGGAACUGAGACACGGUCCAGACUCCUACGGGAGGCAGCAGUAGGGAAUCUUCCGCAAUGGGCGAAAGCCUGACGGAGCAACGCCGCGUGAGUGAUGAAGGUCUUCGGAUCGUAAAACUCUGUUAUUAGGGAAGAACAAAUGUGUAAGUAACUAUGCACGUCUUGACGGUACCUAAUCAGAAAGCCACGGCUAACUACGUG
rnacentral:rRNA from 1 species